rnacentral:rRNA from 1 species
AACGAACGCUGGCGGCGCGCUUAACACAUGCAAGUCGAACGGCAAGGCCUGCUUUCCCUUGUGUAUUGCGGGUACUCUAGCGGCGAACGGGUGAGUAACACGUGAGUUAUCUGCCCCCAACUUGUGUAUAAGCCAGGGAUACUGGGUCUACUUCCCGAUAGUACUGCAGGGUGCUGCCUGUGUUGGAAAACGAUGCUCUAGAGGGUGGGGAUGAGCUCGCGGCCUAUCAGCUUGUUGGUGGGGUAAUGGCCUACCAAGCCGGCGACGGGUAGCCGGACUGAGAGGGGCGACGGCGACAUUGGGACUGGGACACGGCCCAGACAGGAGCGGGAAGCAGGAGUGGGGGAUAAUGCGCAAUGAGCCGAAGCCAGAUGCAGCGAGGCGGCGUAGAAGGUGUCCGCGUUCGAGAGGUAAUCUGCUUGGGAACAAGAGCAAGCCACCUGGAUGGAGGGGUGGUGACGGUAGUGGAAGAAGAAGCACCGGCUAACUACGUG